AAAGAAGAUGUAAUUGUAACCAACGGAAUGGGGAGAGUGGUGAUAGCGACAGUAUUGUCUCCCAUUUAGAUCAAUGUUUUAAGAACUAGACCAGAAAAAAUAGAGUCAAGAACAUAUACCCGAUGGUUGAUCUAUUGUGUUGGACUAGUCCAAUAAUAUUGCCACUGACCUCGAUCAAACUGUAACGUGUAAAAGACAUACCAAAGUAGUCCAAACUGUAACGUGUAAAGACAUGGGAAAUAUAACAAGUUCUUUUGGUCUCUAAGCGGCAUGUCUUACUAUGAGAGUGGAACAGGAUAGAUCUGCGUGAGCAUCUCAUAAAGAUGUCUAGCAUAACAACGACGGGCUAGCAAAAACAGGUUUUUUUUUUUUUUUUUUGAACACACAGGUUAUUCUUUUUUAUCUGACCAUAUCGUGUUUACGGAUCUUUAAUAUAUACCUUUGUCCCAGACUCUUCCGCUAUAUCAAUAAAUCCUCCCAUAUAUGUAAUCAUUUAUCAAACGAGAGACGUGUGGUUUGGCCAUUAGAGCAAUUUUAUUGGGAAAAUUUUAUAUAUUGGUAUUUCACACAAAAAUGGAUGGAUAUUGCAAACGAGAUAUUUUGAGAUAUUUUCAAAUGUGAUUUUCAAUAUUGGAAUUUUUAUAUUAUUGUUUCUUUUAUUCUGUCAUAAAAUAUCCUCAUGUAACAAUUUUAUAUUGCAGCUUAGAUCCAAACUUGUAUCGGUUAAGUUUACCAAAAAAAAAAAAAAACUUGUAUCGGUUAAAUAUUGGCUAUGCUAAUAUUUCUCAAAGAAUAUUAAAAGAAAUGUACGAUAAAGGAAUGGUAUCAAGGUGUGAUAUGUAAGAGUCUUGUUUGGCUUUUUUAUGUGUUUACCCCUGGGAUGAACCUGUGUUUAGGGCUAUAUUUAUAGAUUUAUUCUUGGGUUCACCCCUAGGUAAACCUGUAGGUUCACUAACCAAUAGGAUUGUGUCCUUUUAGAUUCAGUAUCUUUUAAAAUAAGAAACAAAAUAUUAUCGAAUUAUAUUAUAUUUUUAAAAUAAAAAUUAUAUUAAUCACAAAAAUAAGAUUUUUUAAUCGCAAAAAAAAAAGAAUUUGUUUCUCAAAAGUAUUUUUAACGCUGCCAACAAAUAUUAAACCCUAAACUCUUGAAUAAAUCAUAAAUCUUAAAGUUUAAGAUUUGAUCCAAGAGUUUCGGAUUUAUCCAAGGGUUUAGGGUUUACCCAAGGGUUUAGGGUUUACCCAAGGGUUUAGGGUUUAGGAUUAUGAUUUAGGGUUUAGUGUUUUGUUGAUUGUGUUAAAAAUAUUUUUUUUUAAAAAUUCAAGAAUUUAAAAUUUACCAAAGGGUUUAGGGUUUAGAUUUAGCGUUUAGUGUUUUGUUUAUAGUAUUAAUUUUUUUUUGAAAACUUUUUUUUGCAACUACUAUUAUUUUUAUUUAUUUGUAUUUUUUUAAUUUUAAAAACGUAAUAUAAUUUGACAAUAUUUUGUUUCCUUUUUUAAAAGAUAUCGGAUUUGAAAUAACUAAAUCUUAUUGGUUAGUGAACCUAUAGGUUCACCCUAGAGGGUGAAUCCAAGAAUAACUCAUAUUUAUAUUACGAUAUGUACGAUAUAAAAUUUUUAUAUUAAUUCUAGGGUUUAGGGCUUAGGGCUUAGGGUUUAGGGAUUAAGGUUUAGGGUUUAGAAUUUUGAUGAUGAUGUUUUGGGUUUAGAGUUAAAGGUUUUAGGGUUUUGUUUACAAUGUUAACAACUUCAAAGUUUUUUCGGCAAUUAAUAUUAUCUUAUGAUUAUUUCUUUUCUUUUUUUCAUAAACAGAAUAUGAUUUGACAAAUUUUUAUUGUUUAUUAUUUUUUGGUAGAUAAUAAUAUUUUAGUUUUUUU
rnacentral:lncRNA from 1 species